AUGAUUGACAUCUCCCCCCGCGCGCGGCCUGGCCCCGCCCCCUCAAUAAACACCAGUUUGUACCAGUUCGGUCCAGUUUGGGCCGGUUCGGGUCAGUUUGGGGCGGUUUGGGGCCGUUUGGGGUGUGGGAGGGGGUGGGCGGCGAAUGUGGGGUUUUUUGGGGGGAAAUUCGGGGGUUUUGGGGCACUUUUGGGGCCGAUUUUGGGUUCUUGGAGGGGCGAGUUCGGGGGGGGUUGGGGGCAAAUUUGGGGGGGCGGGGAAUUUUGGGUUGGGGGGCAAAUUUGGGGUCUUGGGAGGCAAAUUUGGCGUUUCAGGGGGAAUUUUGGGGUCUUUGGAGGCAAAUUUGGCAUUUCAGGGGGAAUUUUGGGGGGUCUGGGGCGAAUUUGUGUCUGGGAGGGCGAAUUUUGGGAUUUCGGGGUCGUUUGGGGGGAGUUGGGGUCAAAUCUGGGGUGUCCGGGGUCAUUUUGGGGUGGGGGAGGGGUCGGGGGCAGUUCCGGGGGGGGGGGGGGGGGGGUGGGGAUGGGCUGGAAUUCCCCCCCCCGCCCCUCCCCCACAUCCGGAGCAGCUGCGCUGCCCCUCCCCCACCCCCCGCCCCUCCCCCACUCCGGCCAUGGCCGCCUUCAGCCUCGGCCCCCUCCUCCUCCUCCUCCUCCUGCUGGGCCUCGGUACCCCCGAACCCCCCCCGGGACCCCCCAAAAUCCCCCAAAUUCACCCCAAAACCCCUCCGGGACCCCCAAUCUGCGGGACCCCCAAAAUCCCUCCCAGCCCCCCCCCCGGGACCCCCCGAAAUCCCCCAAAUUCACCCCAAAAACCCCUCCGGGACCCCCAACCUGCGGGACCCCCAAAAUCCCUCCCAAAACCCCCCCCGGGACCCUUCAAAAUCCCCCAAAUUCACCCCAAAAAACCCCACCGGGACCCCCAAGGACCCUCGGGACCCCUCCCCUUUUUGGGACCCUCCCAAAUCCCCCCCCAACCCCUUUGAGCCCCCCCCCAAUGCCCCCAAAAUCCCCCAAAUCCCCCCCAAACCCCCCCUAA
rnacentral:lncRNA from 1 species